rnacentral:rRNA from 1 species
AAGAUAGUGAUAUUAAGCAAAACCCAAAAAGACAGUCUCAGUUCGGAUUGAAGGCUGAAAUUCGCCUUCAUGAAGCCGGAAUUGCUAGUAAUGGCAGGUCAGCAUACUGCCGUGAAUACGUUCCCGGGCCUUGUACACACCGCCCGUCACACCAUGAGAGUUGGAGAUACCCGAAGCCUAUGAGCUAACUUUUAGAGGCAGUAGUCGAAGGUAGAAUCAAUGAUUGGGGUGAAGUCGUAACAAGGUAAC